CCUACGGGUGGCUGCAGUGGGGAAUAUUGCACAAUGGGGGAAACCCUGAUGCAGCGACGCCGCGUGAGCGAGGAAGUAUUUCGGUAUGUAAAGCUCUAUCAGCAGGGACGAAAAAAGACGGUACCUGACUAAGAAGCCCCGGCUAACUACGUGCCAGCAGCCGCGGUAAUACGUAGGGUGCAAGCGUUAUCCGGAUUUACUGGGUGUAAAGGGAGAGCAGGCGGUAUGGCAAGUCAGAUGUGAAAACCCAGGGCCCAACCCUGGGACUGCAUUUGAAACUGCCAUACUGGAGUGCCGGAGAGGUAAGUGGAAUUCCUAGUGUAGCGGUGAAAUGCGUAGAUAUUAGGAGGAACACCAGUGGCGAAGGCGGCUUACUGGACGGUAACUGACGCUGAGGCUCGAAAGCGUGGGGAGCAAACAGGAUUAGAUACCCCAGUAGUC
rnacentral:rRNA from 1 species